rnacentral:rRNA from 1 species
GUGGCGAACGAGCUAGUAACACCUUGGUACGUACCCGAAAGUUUGGUAUAGCUCGCCGAAAGGCGGGGUAAUCCCAAAUGGUCCCUCGAGAGCAAUCAACAGGGUAAAGUCUGCAAAGACGCUUUCGGAUCGGCCUAGGUCCGAUCAGUUAGUUGGCGAGGUAAUGGCUCACCAAGACAAUGACCGGUAGGGGGGCUGAGAGGCUGAUCCCCAGCGACGGCACUGAGACACGGGCCGUACACCUACGGGUGGCAGCAGCCGAGAAUAUUCGACAAUGGGCGAAAGCCUGAUCGAGCGACGCCGCGUGCAGGAAGAAGGUUUUCGGAUUGUAAACUGCUUUUCUACGGGAAGAACAAAUGACGAUACCGUAGGAAUAAGGAGCUGCAAACUACGUGCCAGCAGCCGCGGUAAUACGUAGGCUCCAAGCGUUAUCCGGAUUUAUUGGGCGUAAAGGGUGCGUAGGAUAUUUCGCGCGUCUCCUGUAAAAUUUCACCGCUCAACGGUGGAGCCGCAGGGGAUACGGCGAAGAUAGAGAGUGCGAGAGGUCUGUGGAACACAAGGUGUAGGGGUGAAAUCCGUUGAUAUCUUGUGGAACACCAAAAGCGAAGGCAGCAGACUGGCGCAUUUCUGACUCUGAGGCACGAAAGCGUGGGGAGCAAAAAGGAUUAGAUACCCUUGUAGUCCACGCCCUAAACAUUGCUUACUAGCUAUUUCGAGUAUCGACCCUCGAAGUGGCGAAGCUAACGCGUUAAGUAAGCCGCCUGGGAAGUACGGCCGCAAGGCUA